CCUACGGGCGGCAGCAGUGGGGAAUAUUGGGCAAUGGGCGCAAGCCUGACCCAGCAACGCCGCGUGAAGGAAGAAGGCUUUCGGGUUGUAAACUUCUUUUAAGAGGGAAGAGCAGAAGACGGUACCUCUUGAAUAAGCCACGGCUAACACCGUGCCAGCAGCCUCGGUAAUACGUAGGUGGCAAGCGUUGUCCGGAUUUACUGGGUGUAAAGGGCGUGUAGCCGGGCUGACAAGUCAGAUGUGAAAUCCCGUGGCUCACUCACGGAACUGCAUUUGAAACUGUCGGUCUUGAGUAUCGGAGAGGCAGGCGGAAUUCCUAGUGUAGCGGUGAAAUGCGUAGAUAUUAGGAGGAACACCAGUGGCGAAGGCGGCCUGCUGGACGACAACUGACGGUGAGGCGCGAAAGCGUGGGGAGCAAACAGGAUUAGAUACCCGAGUAGUC
rnacentral:rRNA from 1 species